GACGAAGGAUGCAAGCGUUUAUCCGGAUUCAUUGGGUUUAAAGGGAGCGUAGGUGGCCUUAUAAGUCAGUGGUGAAAUCUCUGGGCUUAACCCAGAAAUUGCCAUUGAUACUGUAGGGCUUGAGUAUAGUUCCGUUGGCGGAAUAUGACAUGUAGUGGUGAAAUACAUAGAGAUGUCAUAGAACACCGAUUGCGAAGGCAGCUGACGAAACUAUAACUGACACUGAGACUCGAAAGUGCGGGGAUCAAACAGG
rnacentral:rRNA from 1 species